rnacentral:lncRNA from 1 species
CAUGACUGCACAUUAGAAUCACUCGAAAGCUUUAGCAAAUAGUGAUGCCCGGAGCCACUCCUAGGUAUUACAUUUAAUCAGUCUGGGCAUCAACACUGAAAAAUCUCCCAGGUGAAUCUAAUGUGCAAUCAGGGCUGAGAACCACUGAUUAAGCCCAUAUGGUGGUGCUCAGCAAGUGGCAGAAGACUGAGGAGCUUGGCUCACCUUCAGUCCUGGGCUCAGAGAGAAGCAGAGUCCUGACCUCCUUGCCCCAACUGGCCACUCCGGGGCUGGGAUAAGAUGAGCCCUUGGAAGUAGCUCCUAUUCAGGGAGUUUUCUGGUUAGAACUGAUCCCAUCUCUAGAGGCCAAGUCAAAGAUAAAGGAUUUGAGGAAAGACAGAAACUGUCAGCCAUUUUUUUUUGCUUAAUACGGAUCCAUCCUCAAGCAAACAAGAGCUCAGCUACUUGUUCGAAUGAAAGGAUUGAAGCAAACUGAUUCUCACUAAAGUCUGGAUGACUGAGCCCUGCCCAUACCCCAGCAUUCUGGGAUUUGAAAAGAGGCCAUUUGCUGUCCUAGGAUAUCUUUGGUUUGUAGCAUUCCAGGACACCCCAGGACGGCAAGCUCAGAGUGCCUGCUUGGAUCGAGCUGAUGCAAUCAAGACAAAUGCCAACCUGCCUUCUGUCCCUUUGAGCCUGUCCUCCGGUUCCCUGGCCUGCCAGUCAGAGCCGCCUGCAGCAAGCUCUAAAACGUGGCCCUCUCCCCCAUGUUUCCACCAGACACAAAGGGCCGGGCUGGCAAUGCUCUUGUCCAUCAGUGAUGAGCAGUUGGUACCCUGUGCCUGGGGAGGAACUUCUGAUCUCAGCUUGGGGCCUGUCGAUGAGCCAGUGACUGCUGUUCUCACAGAGAACCAGCAGGACACGGUUAAAUCUCUGUCGGAACAUGGCAAAGUGAUGAAUCGUGCUCAUGUUUAUUCCAUGGUUUCAAAGGCAGCCAUCUAAUGUUUAAGAGCACGGGGACAAUAAAUGAACAGACAGUUUGGUGGAGAACAGAAGAGGUGGACACAGCCAUGAUUUGCUACCUAGUAGACGGACUUUAUUUUAUUUUAUAUGGCUCAGGUGUAUAGCUUGAAAGACCCCUAAAGUAUAGUAAGACUUGGAUAAGCUCCAUUGUGCUCCAAAUUUGGGAAGCAGUGCCUUAUGCUAAUAAUGUUUUUGUAAGAAAAUAGUCUCCUUUUCAUCAGCAGAUUGUCCCUCAAAUUAGUUGAAGCCUGGAGGCCUUAAAUUAAAAAAACAAGAAAUUACAAUGCAGCAGAUUGAAUUUAGGUUCAUGUGUUGUGUUUGAAAUACAGGAGUGGCUGUUGAAGGCCUGAUUUAAAAUGAAUGGUGGGUUCCUUAUGCAGGAUCCCCUGAAUAUCUGGUUAUUUGCGUUGAAAGCUCGGCCUUCCUUCACCAUGACCACGGCUUGCCCUCCAGGCCAGCCUGAGCUGGCAGGACCACACCAGAGUCUGUGCUGAUGCCAUUACACCUGCUGGAACCUUCUCCUGAACUGCUGUCCCUGCCCAGCUCGGAUGAGGCAGGUCUAGCUUGGAGUCCCAUUCCCCUCUUGGCCUCAACAAGAGAAGUG